rnacentral:rRNA from 1 species
UGGGGAAUAUUGCACAAUGGGCGCAAGCCUGAUGCAGCGACGCCGCGUGCGGGAUGGAGGCCUUCGGGUUGUAAACCGCUUUUGUUCAAGGGCAAGGCAGG